AUGUUAAAGUUUUGUGGUAGUGAUAAUGA
rnacentral:sRNA from 1 species